rnacentral:rRNA from 1 species
GCUCAACCGGGGAGGGUCAUUGGAAACUGGGAAACUUGAGUGCAGAAGAGGAGAGUGGAAUUCCACGUGUAGCGGUGAAAUGCGUAGAGAUGUGGAGGAACACCAGUGGCGAAGGCGACUCUCUGGUCUGUAACUGACGCUGAGGAGCGAAAGCGUGGGGAGCGAAUAGGAUUAGAUACCCUGGUAGUCCACGCCGUAAACGAUGAGUGCUAAGUGUUAGGGGGUUUCCGCCCCUUAGUGCUGCAGCUAACGCAUUAAGCACUCCGCCUGGGGAGUACGGUCGCAAGACUGAAACUCAAAGGAAUUGACGGGGGCCCGCACAAGCGGUGGAGCAUGUGGUUUAAUUCGAAGCAACGCGAAGAACCUUACCAGGUCUUGACAUCCUCUGACAACCCUAGAGAUAGGGCUUUCCCUUCGGGGACAGAGUGACAGGUGGUGCAUGGUUGUCGUCAGCUCGUGUCGUGAGAUGUUGGGUUAAGUCCCGCAACGAGCGCAACCCUUGAUCUUAGUUGCCAGCAUUCAGUUGGGCACUCUAAGGUGACUGCCGGUGACAAACCGGAGGAAGGUGGGGAUGACGUCAAAUCAUCAUGCCCCUUAUGACCUGGGCUACACACGUGCUACAAUGGACAGAACAAAG